UACAGAGGUCUCAAGCGUUGUUCGGAUUCAUUGGGCGUAAAGGGUGCGUAGGCGGCGCGGUAAGUCGGGUGUGAAAUUUUGAGGCUUAACUUCGAAACUGCAUUCGAUACUGCCGUGCUUGAGGACUGGAGAGGAGACUGGAAUUUACGGUGUAGCGGUGAAAUGCGUAGAUAUCGUAAGGAAGACCAGUGGCGAAGGCGGCUACCUGGACCAGCACUGACACUGAAGCACGAAAGCGUGGGGAGCGAACAGG
rnacentral:rRNA from 1 species